CCANCAGCCGCGGUAAUACGUAGGUCCCGAGCGUUGUCNGGAUUUAUUGGGCGUAAAGGGAGCGCAGGCGNUCAGGAAAGUCUGGAGUAAAAGGCUAUGGCUCAACCAUAGUGUGCUCUGGAAACUNUCUGACUUGAGUGCAGAAGGGGAGAGUGGAAUUCCAUGUGUAGCGGUGAAAUGCGUAGAUAUAUGGAGGAACACCAGUGGCGAAAGCGGCUCUCUGGUCUGUCACUGACGCUGAGGCUCGAAAGCGUGGGUAGCGAACAGGAUUAGAUACCCUGGUAGUNCACGCCGUAAACGAUGAGUGCUAGGUGUUAGGCCCNUUCCGGGGCUUAGUGCCGGAGCUAACGCAAUAAGCACUCCGCCUGGGGAGUACGACCGCAAGGUUGAAACUCAAAGGAAUUGACGGGGGCCCGCACAAGCGGUGGAGCAUGUGGUUUAAUUCGAAGCAACGCGAAGAACCUUACCAGGUCUUGACAUCCCGAUGCUAUUCUUAGAGAUAGGAAGUUACUUCGGUACAUCGGAGACAGGUGGUGCAUGGUUGUCGUCAGCUCGUGUCGUGAGAUGUUGGGUUAAGUCCCGCAACGAGCGCAACCCUUAUUGUUAGUUGCCAUCAUUAAGUUGGGCACUCUAGCGAGACUGCCGGUAAUAAACCGGAGGAAGGUGGGGAUGACGUCAAAUCAUCAUGCCCCUUAUGACCUGGGCUACACACGUGCUACAAUGGUCGGUACAACGAGUUGCGAGCCGGUGACGGCAAGCUAAUCUCUGAAAGCCGAUCUCAGUUCGGAUUGGAGGCUGCAACUCGCCUCCAUGAAGUCGGAAUCGCUAGUAAUCGCGGAUCAGCACGCCGCGGUGAAUACGUUCCCGGGCCUUGUACACACCGCCCGUCACACCACGAGAGUUUGUAACACCCGAAGUCGGUGAGGUAACCCUUUAG
rnacentral:rRNA from 1 species